CCUACGGGUGGCAGCAGUGAGGAAUAUUGGUCAAUGGACGAGAGUCUGAACCAGCCAAGUAGCGUGAAGGAUGACUGCCCUAUGGGUUGUAAACUUCUUUUAUAUGGGAAUAAAAUGUUCCACGUGUGGGAUUUUGUAUGUACCAUAUGAAUAAGGAUCGGCUAACUCCGUGCCAGCAGCCGCGGUAAUACGGAGGAUCCGAGCGUUAUCCGGAUUUAUUGGGUUUAAAGGGAGCGUAGGUGGAUUGUUAAGUCAGUUGUGAAAGUUUGCGGCUCAACCGUAAAAUUGUAGUUGAAACUGGCAGUCUUGAGUACAGUAGAGGUGUGCGGAAUGCGUGGUGUAGCGGUGAAAUGCUUAGAUAUCACGAAGAAAUCCGAUUGCGAAGGCAGUUCACUGGACUGCAACUGACACUGAGGCUCGAAAGUGUGGGUAUCAAACAGGAUUAGAUACACCAGUAGUC
rnacentral:rRNA from 1 species